rnacentral:rRNA from 1 species
AGAGUUUGAUCAUGGCUCAGAACGAACGCUGGCGGCAUGCCUAACACAUGCAAGUCGAACGCUUCCGGGAUUUCGGUCUCGGGGGAGUGGCGCACGGGUGAGUAGCGCGUGGGAACCUGCCCUGUUGUGGGGGAUAACCGAGGGAAACUUCGGCUAAUACCGCAUGCGCCCGGGGCAACCCGGGGAAAGAUUUAUUCGCA